rnacentral:rRNA from 1 species
GGGUUGUGAGGUUAAGCGACUAAGCGUACACGGUGGAUGCCCUGGCAGUCAGAGGCGAUGAAGGACGUGCUAAUCUGCGAUAAGCGUCGGUAAGGUGAUAUGAACCGUUAUAACCGGCGAUUUCCGAAUGGGGAAACCCAGUGUGUUUCGACACACUAUCAUUAACUGAAUCCAUAGGUUAAUGAGGCGAACCGGGGGAACUGAAACAUCUAAGUACCCCGAGGAAAAGAAAUCAACCGAGAUUCCCCCAGUAGCGGCGAGCGAACGGGGAGCAGCCCAGAGCCUGAAUCAGUGUGUGUGUUAGUGGAAGCGUCUGGAAAGGCGCGCGAUACAGGGUGACAGCCCCGUACACAAAAAUGCACAUGCUGUGAGCUCGAUGAGUAGGGCGGGACACGUGGUAUCCUGUCUGAAUAUGGGGGGACCAUCCUCCAAGGCUAAAUACUCCUGACUGACCGAUAGUGAACCAGUACCGUGAGGGAAAGGCGAAAAGAACCCCGGCGAGGGGAGUGAAAAAGAACCUGAAACCGUGUACGUACAAGCAGUGGGAGCACGCUUAGGCGUGUGACUGCGUACCUUUUGUAUAAUGGGUCAGCGACUUAUAUUCUGUAGCAAGGUUAACCGAAUAGGGGAGCCGAAGGGAAACCGAGUCUUAACUGGGCGUUAAGUUGCAGGGUAUAGACCCGAAACCCGGUGAUCUAGCCAUGGGCAGGUUGAAGGUUGGGUAACACUAACUGGAGGACCGAACCGACUAAUGUUGAAAAAUUAGCGGAUGACUUGUGGCUGGGGGUGAAAGGCCAAUCAAACCGGGAGAUAGCUGGUUCUCCCCGAAAGCUAUUUAGGUAGCGCCUCGUGAAUUCAUCUCCGGGGGUAGAGCACUGUUUCGGCAAGGGGGUCAUCCCGACUUACCAACCCGAUGCAAACUGCGAAUACCGGAGAAUGUUAUCACGGGAGACACACGGCGGGUGCUAACGUCCGUCGUGAAGAGGGAAACAACCCAGACCGCCAGCUAAGGUCCCAAAGUCAUGGUUAAGUGGGAAACGAUGUGGGAAGGCCCAGACAGCCAGGAUGUUGGCUUAGAAGCAGCCAUCAUUUAAAGAAAGCGUAAUAGCUCACUGGUCGAGUCGGCCUGCGCGGAAGAUGUAACGGGGCUAAACCAUGCACCGAAGCUGCGGCAGCGACGCUUAUGCGUUGUUGGGUAGGGGAGCGUUCUGUAAGCCUGCGAAGGUGUGCUGUGAGGCAUGCUGGAGGUAUCAGAAGUGCGAAUGCUGACAUAAGUAACGAUAAAGCGGGUGAAAAGCCCGCUCGCCGGAAGACCAAGGGUUCCUGUCCAACGUUAAUCGGGGCAGGGUGAGUCGACCCCUAAGGCGAGGCCGAAAGGCGUAGUCGAUGGGAAACAGGUUAAUAUUCCUGUACUUGGUGUUACUGCGAAGGGGGGACGGAGAAGGCUAUGUUGGCCGGGCGACGGUUGUCCCGGUUUAAGCGUGUAGGCUGGUUUUCCAGGCAAAUCCGGAAAAUCAAGGCUGAGGCGUGAUGACGAGGCACUACGGUGCUGAAGCAACAAAUGCCCUGCUUCCAGGAAAAGCCUCUAAGCAUCAGGUAACAUCAAAUCGUACCCCAAACCGACACAGGUGGUCAGGUAGAGAAUACCAAGGCGCUUGAGAGAACUCGGGUGAAGGAACUAGGCAAAAUGGUGCCGUAACUUCGGGAGAAGGCACGCUGAUAUGUAGGUGAAGUCCCUCGCGGAUGGAGCUGAAAUCAGUCGAAGAUACCAGCUGGCUGCAACUGUUUAUUAAAAACACAGCACUGUGCAAACACGAAAGUGGACGUAUACGGUGUGACGCCUGCCCGGUGCCGGAAGGUUAAUUGAUGGGGUCAGCGCAAGCGAAGCUCUUGAUCGAAGCCCCGGUAAACGGCGGCCGUAACUAUAACGGUCCUAAGGUAGCGAAAUUCCUUGUCGGGUAAGUUCCGACCUGCACGAAUGGCGUAAUGAUGGCCAGGCUGUCUCCACCCGAGACUCAGUGAAAUUGAACUCGCUGUGAAGAUGCAGUGUACCCGCGGCAAGACGGAAAGACCCCGUGAACCUUUACUAUAGCUUGACACUGAACAUUGAGCCUUGAUGUGUAGGAUAGGUGGGAGGCUUUGAAGUGUGGACGCCAGUCUGCAUGGAGCCGACCUUGAAAUACCACCCUUUAAUGUUUGAUGUUCUAACGUGGACCCGUAAUCCGGGUUGCGGACAGUGUCUGGUGGGUAGUUUGACUGGGGCGGUCUCCUCCUAAAGAGUAACGGAGGAGCACGAAGGUUGGCUAAUCCUGGUCGGACAUCAGGAGGUUAGUGCAAUGGCAUAAGCCAGCUUGACUGCGAGCGUGACGGCGCGAGCAGGUGCGAAAGCAGGUCAUAGUGAUCCGGUGGUUCUGAAUGGAAGGGCCAUCGCUCAACGGAUAAAAGGUACUCCGGGGAUAACAGGCUGAUACCGCCCAAGAGUUCAUAUCGACGGCGGUGUUUGGCACCUCGAUGUCGGCUCAUCACAUCCUGGGGCUGAAGUAGGUCCCAAGGGUAUGGCUGUUCGCCAUUUAAAGUGGUACGCGAGCUGGGUUUAGAACGUCGUGAGACAGUUCGGUCCCUAUCUGCCGUGGGCGCUGGAGAACUGAGGGGGGCUGCUCCUAGUACGAGAGGACCGGAGUGGACGCAUCACUGGUGUUCGGGUUGUCAUGCCAAUGGCACUGCCCGGUAGCUAAAUGCGGAAGAGAUAAGUGCUGAAAGCAUCUAAGCACGAAACUUGCCCCGAGAUGAGUUCUCCCUGACCCUUUAAGGGUCCUGAAGGAACGUUGAAGACGACGACGUUGAUAGGCCGGGUGUGUAAGCGCAGCGAUGCGUUGAGCUAACCGGUACUAAUGAACCGUGAGGCUUAACCUUACAACGCCGAAGGUGUUU